rnacentral:rRNA from 1 species
AGAACGAACGCUGGCGGCAUGCCUAAUACAUGCAAGUCGAACGAACUCUUCGGAGUUAGUGGCGCACGGGUGCGUAACGCGUGGGAAUCUGCCCCUUGGUUCGGAAUAACAGUUGGAAACGACUGCUAAUACCGGAUGAUGACGAAAGUCCAAAGAUUUAUCGCCAAGGGAUGAGCCCGCGUAGGAUUAGCUAGUUGGUGAGGUAAAGGCUCACCAAGGCAACGAUCCUUAGCUGGUCUGAGAGGAUGAUCAGCCACACUGGGACUGAGACACGGCCCAGACUCCUACGGGAGGCAGCAGUAGGGAAUAUUGGACAAGUGGGGACGAAAGCCUGAUCCGAGUUACAA